rnacentral:rRNA from 1 species
UUACACAUGCAAGUCGAACGGCAGCGCGGGGCAACCUGGCGGCGAGUGGCGAACGGGUGAGUAAUAUAUCGGAACGUACCCUGGAGUGGGGGAUAACGCAGCGAAAGUUGCGCUAAUACCGCAUACGAUCUAAGGAUGAAAGCAGGGGACCGCAAGGCCUUGUGCUCCUGGAGCGGCCGAUAUCUGAUUAGCUAGUUGGUGGGGUAAAGGCCUACCAAGGCAUCGAUCAGUAGCUGGUCUGAGAGGACGACCAGCCACACCGGGACUGAGACACGGCCCAGACUCCUACGGGAGGCAGCAGUGGGGAAUUUUGGACAAUGGGCGCAAGCCUGAUCCAGCAAUGCCGCGUGAGUGAAGAAGGCCUUCGGGUUGUAAAGCUCUUUUGUCAGGGAAGAAACGGUUGUGGCUAAUAUCCGCAACUAAUGACGGUACCUGAAGAAUAAGCACCGGCUAACUACGUGCCAGCAGCCGCGGUAAUACGUAGGGUGCAAGCGUUAAUCGGAAUUACUGGGCGUAAAGGGUGCGCAGGCGGCCCCGCAAGUCAGGCGUGAAAUCCCCGGGCUUAACUUGGGAAUGGCGCUUGAAACUACGGGGCUGGAGUGUGGCAGAGGGAGGUGGAAUUCCACGUGUAGCGGCGAAAUGCGUAGAGAUGUGGAGGAACACCGAUGGCGAAGGCAGCCUCCUGGGCCAACACUGACGCUCAUGCACGAAAGCGU